CCUACGGGAGGCAGCAGUGAGGAAUAUUGCGCAAUGGGGGCAACCCUGACGCAGCGACGCCGCGUGAGUGAGGAAGGUUUUCGGAUCGUAAAGCUCUGUCAGAAGGGAAGAAGUGUUAUAUGGUUAAUACCCCUAUAAUUUGACGGUACCUUCAGAGGAAGCACCGGCUAACUCCGUGCCAGCAGCCGCGGUAAUACGGAGGGUGCAAGCGUUGUUCGGAAUUACUGGGCGUAAAGGGCGCGUAGGCGGCCUGAUAAGUCAGAUGUGAAAGUCCACGGCUCAACCGUGGAAGUGCAUUUGAAACUAUCAGGCUUGAGUAUCGGAGGGGAGUGUGGAAUUCCCGGUGUAGAGGUGAAAUUCGUAGAGAUCGGGAGGAACACCCGUGGCGAAGGCGACACUCUGGACGAAUACUGACGCUGAGGCGCGAAAGCGUGGGGAGCAAACAGGAUUAGAUACCCUGGUAGUCCACGCCGUAAACGAUGAGAACUAGAGGUAGGGGGUGUUGAUCCCUCCUGUCUCGCAGCUAACGCAUUAAGUUCUCCGCCUGGGGAGUACGGUCGCAAGAUUAAAACUCAAAGGAAUUGACGG
rnacentral:rRNA from 1 species